rnacentral:tRNA from 1 species
GGGGCUAGAGCUCAGUGGGUACAGUGUUUGCUUUGUGUGCACGAGGUACUGGGUUCAAUCCCCAGUACCUUCC